rnacentral:rRNA from 1 species
UACAGAGGGGGCAAGCGUUGUUCGGAAUUACUGGGCGUAAAGGGCGCGUAGGCGGCCUGCUAAGUCGAACGUGAAAUCCCUGGGCUCAACCCAGGAACUGCGUCCGAUACUGGUUGGCUUGAAUCCGGGAGAGGGAUGUGGAAUUCCAGGUGUAGCGGUGAAAUGCGCAGAUAUCGGGAGGAACACCAAUGGCGAAGGCAGCUCGCUGGGACGUUACGUGACGCUGAGACGCGAAAGCGUGGGGAGCAAACAGG